UGGGGAAUUUUGGACAAUGGGCGAAAGCCUGAUCCAGCAAUGCCGCGUGUGUGAAGAAGGCCUUCGGGUUGUAAAGCACUUUUGUCCGGAAAGAAAUCCUUGGCUCUAAUACAGUCGGGGGAUGACGGUACCGGAAGAAUAAGCACCGGCUAACUACGUGCCAGCAGCCGCGGUAAUACGUAGGGUGCAAGCGUUAAUCGGAAUUACUGGGCGUAAAGCGUGCGCAGGCGGUUUGCUAAGACCGAUGUGAAAUCCCCGGGCUCAACCUGGGAACUGCAUUGGGUGACUGGCAGGCUAGAGUAUGGCAGAGGGGGGUAGAAUUCCACGUGUAGCAGUGAAAUGCGUAGAGAUGUGGAGGAAUACCGAUGGCGAAGGCAGCCCCCUGGGCCAAUACUGACGCUCAUGCACGAAAGCGUGGGGAGCAAACAGGAUUAGAUACCCUGGUAGUCCACGCCCUAAACGAUGUCAACUAGUUGUUGGGGAUUCAUUUCCUUAGUAACGUAGCUAACGCGUGAAGUUGACCGCCUGGGGAGUACGGUCGCAAGAUUAAAACUCAAGGAAUUGACGGGGUCAUAGCUGUUUCCU
rnacentral:rRNA from 1 species